CAGCCAUGCCUAGAUGCUCUGCAUGAUCUCCGCUCUCAAGUCCAUGGAGCACCACGUAUGUGGGAUGUCCAAGCUGGCUGCCAUCUCCAUCAUCGUUCUAUGUUCGACAUGCUGUUAUUUCACGCUUUUACCAAGCACAAAGUCAUCUCAGCUGCUGCAACUGCAUGACGUACGAUUGCCCAAUCCUUGCUACUCCAGGAAAGCUAUAUCGUGCAGCAUGCAAAUGUGCAUCCUGAUUAACUGAAGACGAGAACCGUUUGUGGGCGCUGAAGAUCAGAAGAUGAUGACCAAAAGCUAAUGGU